GACGAACGCUGGCGGCGUGCCUAAUACAUGCAAGUAGAACGCUGACGGAGGAGCUUGCUUCUCUGGAUGAGUUGCGAACGGGUGAGUAACGCGUAGGUAACCUGCCUGGUAGCGGGGGAUAACUUUUGGAAACGAUAGCUAAUACCGCAUAAGAGUCGAUGUUGCAUUACAUUUACUUAAAAGGUGCAAUUGCAUCACUACCAGAUGCACCUGCGUUGUUUUAGGUAGUUGGUGGGGGAAAGGCUCACCAAGGCGACGGUACAUCGGCGGCCUGAGAGGGUGGUCGGGCAAACUUGGAACUGAGCAACGGCCCAGCUUCUUCGGGGAGGAAGAGUAGGGGAACAUCGGCAAUUGGCGGAAAUCUUACCGAACAACGCCCGGGGAGGUAAGAAAGUUUUUGGGGUGUAAAAGUCUGUUGGAUGGGAAGAACGAGCAGGAGGUUAGAAAGUUCACGCUGUGACGGUACCUAAACAAUAAGCAACGGCUAACUACGUG
rnacentral:rRNA from 1 species